CCCGCCCACCCCAGGUCGCCCCUCGCAUCCACUGGCGGCGGUUACGGGGGACGGGGCUCUGAGAUCUCUGGGACCCGAGCGACAGGAAGGGACGCGAGCGAGGGCCGCAGGCCCCCUGCUUGUUUUGUUGUGAUGAUGGAUCCGCUCCAGCACUGAGGAGGGGCCAGGCCCAGCUGACAGUACAAAUGCCCGGGCUGCUCCUCGCUCCGGGAGUCUCUGUGCUUUAGUUCCGGGUGCGGGUGUCCUGGCGUAGGGCUGGGGUGGGAAUCGCCUGAGCCAGGGCUCCGUCGAAGCGGAGUUGGCAGCCUUCCAGCUUCCCUCCUCCAUGCCCUUGAAAAGGAGGAGCGUUUCACCCGGUGGUGGCGGCUUGCAAGGUGGCAGACAGACCCUUCUCAUGAGAUGGGGCAGCCUCAAUGGAUUUUCCAAAAAUGUGCUUCAUCAGGCAAGCCCAGGACUGACCACCAUUGGUUGACUAUGGCCAAGUGAAGGAUUGGGAGGG
rnacentral:lncRNA from 1 species